rnacentral:rRNA from 1 species
UACGAAGGGGGCUAGCGUUGCUCGGAAUCACUGGGCGUAAAGCGCACGUAGGCGGCUUUUUAAGUCAGGGGUGAAAUCCUGGAGCUCAACUCCAGAACUGCCUUUGAUACUGAGAGGCUUGAGUCCGGGAGAGGUGAGUGGAACUGCGAGUGUAGAGGUGAAAUUCGUAGAUAUUCGCAAGAACACCGGUGGCGAAGGCGGCCUGCUGGGCAGUUGCUGACACUGAGGCGCGACAGCGUGGGGAGCAAACAGG